GGGGAUGCAUAGGCAUGGUGCUGUUCACUAGUGUGACGCUCGGGUGUGAGAGCAGAAAGAAGCUUUGUUAGCAGGGAAAAUGAUCAACUGGGAACCUCUAGGGAGACUUUGUCAAAUAGCCUGAUGUCACAGAGGAGAGAAGACCCUUGAAAGAUGUCCACCUCAGAGAUCUGUGCACAGAUGUCCUCCAUGCUUAGACUGUCUCUAGCCAAACUGGAGGUGCUCUGCUGGUGAUCAUGUGGAACCCACUUGUGUCCUGAGCCAGCGGUGUGGAGUUUCACACCCCUGCCCCCUUCUCCCCAGUCUUACCUGCGUUUUCUAAGAGGUAUGAAUACAGCCAUGAACAGCCUACAUCAGAUCCGUAUCCACUGCCGUUCAGCCCGUCAACUCACCACUAUUUAUUUAUUGCACUGGAGGAUUCUUUGAAGUGGGAGCGUCCCUGGGCACUUGAGGAUGCCUAGCAGCCUGUAAUCACUGGUCCCUGCAGCUCCCUCCACCUCAGUUGGGAUGAUAAAAAAAUGCCUACAUGCCUGGCUAAUUGUCUGCUAGGAGAACCCGCUCUCAGUCAAAAAUCCCGUACUCAAUAUUUAGUACGCAAAUAGUCUGUGCUUGAAAGAACAGGUUUCUGAAGGUCUCAGUUUUCUCUUCAAAUAUACUCACUAAAUAGAUAAUCACCACCUUAAUCAUAAGAAAUAAUACAUGUGAAAUCAUGAUUUUUCACUUGCUAAUUAAGUCUUCCCUAAAAUGCAUUAAGGUAACUAAAAAUUUCCACGUACCACCUAAGUGCAUCUGUACCUCCUGAGGUUUAUGUUAUCUAUCACACCUUGGUGAAGACUUAGAUAUUUGUCAGGGAGCCUUAGAAGCUGUAGAGUGUUACACAAAUUCAAGGUGCUCUCCUCUCCUAGAACGAGGCAGGGCACUUGUCCUAACUGUCGAGAAAGAGAAUGGACGGUGAGGCUGGAGUGGCCUCCCUGGGGCAAAUGACGACUACAGCAAGGCGAUUCCCUUGCUCAUCGGUCAGGUUGGAGCCUGGAGUACCCGUGUGAACCUGUUAUGGCAUCUCCUUUCAGAGCUUCCUCUAACAUUCAGGAGUACAAACGCAGUGGGAGAUGAUGAAGUGAAGGGAGCCAGGAGGUGUAUACUUAACACUCCCAAGGUCCACCAAGUUUCAGUUAUCUCUGUCACAAUUAUCAAGAGCAGGUCCCACUCUGGGAGAGACCAUCAGUAGCUGCAGCACAGUACCUCCCAAGGAGAAUGCUAUUUCGGAGGCUUGCCAAUGUCUGCCGGGGGUAAACAUGCCUUCUCUGUGCUCCCCUGAUGAGACAGCUGUGUGGCUACUGUAUCUUCUUGGAUUCAUCACAGGCCCCCAGGAAACCGUUUCUCAUUUGAAACCAGUGUUUCUCCCCUAUGUGAAAUUUAACUCACCCAAAAACCUUUUUAAAAACUUAACGUAUGAACCCAGACCCCAGACUGAUGGAACCAAAGCCGUGGGCGUGGACACAGACACCAACAGUUUGCAAGCCCCUCAGCUGACCGCAGUGCACAUCUUCGGUUAAGAACACUGUUUUGAUGAUGGAGGGGAAAAAGUCUUGCUCUACUUGAGUUCUGUAACCAAAUUAUACGCUUCGUUCUGUUCUAAGAUUUCCGCAGCCUGGCCUUUCCUUCACCACUCCCUGAGUGGAGAGAGCACUGGCCUUGUGUUUCUCUACUUAUUUUUUUUUUCACUUCAAGUUUCAAAGAAGGGGCUAAAUGACAAUACUGAGCAUUCAUUGGGCACUUGUGUUGACAAAUGGGGUCCUGUUUUGUGUGUAAUUUGCUGGGUCCUCGAGAUGUGUAGAUAUUAUUAUACUAUAAACUGCUUUGAAAAACAGAGAUGUGAGUUGCCUUCUAGAAUGUGCCUUUAUUAUUUUGCAGAACAUCACCUAUCUCCCACCUACAAGGUUCUACCAGGAGCUGCCAUUUGGUACAAUAUUUCUCCCAAGCCUGUGAAAAUAGUUGAGUGGGUUAGAGACAAAUACAGACCAUUUGUCAGAGUGAUUAUUCCCUUUCCAAAAACCAUCCAAUUAGCUGGGCAAGAGAAAGAGGUGAAAGAGAAGGGAAAAGGAGAGGAGGGAUCUGUACAUCAGCAUGGGGCUAUCUCCUUCAACGCACAGCAGAGGUUAGGUGCAGUUGGCAAUGUUCUCAUAUAAGGAGGGGGACAGGAGGCUAGUCUACAUCGGGCAAGAAAAAUGAAUCAAUUAUGUAGCUCAUGUGAUAGGUGGAGAGGAAGUCUCCAUGGCACUCAACAUCUCAGCUGCUUCUGUUCACUUCUGACACAUUUGCCCUUGAACUCUGGGAAAACCUCAACAAUGUACAACAGUCUCCCCUUUUCAUAUGUUAAUCUGAGUAGGUCUCUAUUACCAGCAAUCAAAAUAAUGUAAAUCAAUAUGACUGUGUGUGCAAUAUGAGGAAGGUGUUCAAAAAGGUAUAAAACUCUGACAAGUACCAAUCAGAAAUUUACAACCCAGGAAAUACAAGGUGCAGGUCAACUCCAACGCCACACUCAAUAGCCAUGGCAUCUUGAUGGGCAUUUUACUACUGUGGAUCACAGGGGUUUGAUCUGUGAAAAUUAAACACUAAUAUAACGUGGUACUUUGGUGGGGUCACCACUAAUCAUAAUCCCCACCCCUGUAUUCAACUUGGAAGAGAUUUGUGAAAGCACAGAGGUGAUUUCCGAGGGCGUAUCACCCAAGACUGGGCAUGACCUGGGUUUCAUGUGAUCAAAAUCACCUCACCUCUCUCCUUGUUCGUGGCCAUGAGAGAAGAGGAAGGCUGCCAUCCGGUCACCCAAAGAGGCAAUUUCUAUACUCCUGACUCCAUGCAGUCCAGGGGGUAUCAGAGCAGCCAAUUAGGAUGUUUUAUCCUCAAAGUGUUCAGUGAAGGCAGGUGGGAAGAACAGGUCACAGAACUCCAGGUGCAAAAAAGGAAAAAGUUCACUAGGGCAUGUGCUUUGAAAGUACCUUAUUCUAAAAUAAAAAAUGAUUUAAUAAAAAAAACUGGGUCAUUGAGUUGAAAUGCAUCAGGAUCCUCAUUAAAAGUUUAGUUUUCCUCAUAUGGAUCCCCAAAAAUACAGGAAUGUGAGAACAUUCUAUUUUGGGGGAGAUCAUAGAAAAAGUUGGGCCUUUGAAAGUAGACAGACCUGAGUUCAAGGUGGGGCUUUGUUAGGUCAGUGGUUUCCAUUCAUGUACCUCUGAUUCUCUCUCUCAUAGUAAAGCAUCCUAAAAUGCAUAAUACAUUUAAUUAAUAAAUUUGGGCUGGGGAGAUGACUCAACUGUGCAAGCAUAAGGAUAUGAGUUCAAUCCCUAGAACACACUUCAAAGUACCAAGUGUAUUGGCAAGCAGUGUAACCCCAGCUUUGUGCAGGCAGAGAGAAUGGGACCCUCGGGCUUGCUGCCAAUCCCAUCUAGACUACUUAGCCAGCUCUAAGCCAAUGAGAGACUGUCUCAGAGAAAAGGUGGUUUGCACCUGAGGGACGAAAGCAGAAGUUUCACUUUGGCAUUCAUACAUACAUGUGCAUAUGUACCCUUACACAUAAGUAAGUUAAUUAAUUAGUUUGUUGUCAUAUGUCUACAAUGUGCUUACCAUAUAUGUUCAAUGAAAUUAGUCGCCUCUCCUGUCCCAAACACACAGAUUCGGUGUGGCCCAUAAGAACAUGUACUCUGCGACCAGACAGGGCUGGCUUUGAAUACCCCUUCUACUUUGACAAUGCUAUGACAUCAUUCUCCUUUCAGACUCUCAUUUCUUUCUCAAUAAAAAGGCAAUGACAACACCCACAUGAGAGAGACCCUGAUGACUCUCACUCACCCAGUUCCUCUUCCUUCUGCACAGGAGCACAGUUUCACUAUUCAUUUCCAAGGCUGACCUAAAUGGCAUGGGGAAAUAGUGUUCAGUCCACUAUCUCAGAGACCGCUGUAGGACACUGCUCUGGCCAAGGAAACGGGGGUGGGGGGGCCCUCGGGUGUGUGCUGCAGACUUCUGGGAAGGUCUUUGUUCCUUCUUCCAGGCCUCUCUUACACAUCUCUUCUUGCCUGCUCUGCCUCUGCUGCCUAGGAUUACAAAUCUUCAGGACAGACUGUGGAUGAAGCCAACAACCAAGAAAAGCAGAGAAGGCACGUCAAAAGAUCCUGGGGACGUGUAUGGUCAUUUAUCCCUCAAUCAACCCAUACUGAAACCUGCCUUAGACUGAGUUUCCUGUUCCUGGCAAUAAUAAAUGACCUGUCAUUUCAACCAGC